rfam:Streptomyces autolyticus strain CGMCC0516, complete genome.
CUUGACCGACCCCAGCAGCAGCGGUUGGUCCCCGGUGCGCUCACGGCCGUAGGUGGCCAGCAGGGCCUGGGCCUC